GGGGAUGUAGCUUAGAUGGUAGAGUGUUCACUUAGCAUGCGAGAAGUACGAGGAUCAAUACCUUGCAUCUCUA
rnacentral:tRNA from 1 species